CAUAGCGACUAUCGUGGCAUAUCAAUAAGCGGAGGAAAAGAAACUAACAAGGAUUCCCUUAGUAACGGCGAGUGAAGCGGGAAGAGCUCAAAUUUGAAAUCUUCAAGGUUUUACCUUGACGAAUUGUAGUUUAAAGAAGUGUUUUCUGUUGGAGUUUCGGUAAAAGUUCUUUGGAUAUAGGACAUCAUAGAGGGUGAGAAUCCCGUAUUUGACCAUUACUUUCCAACUGUGUGAUACACUUUCAAAGAGUCGGAUUGUUUGGGAAUACAGUCCAAAAUGGGUGGUAAAUUUCAUCUAAAGCUAAAUAUUGGCGAGAGACCGAUAGCGAACAAGUACCGUGAGGGAAAGAUGAAAAGAACUUUGAAAAGAGAGUUAAACAGUACGUGAAAUUGUCAAAAGGGAAGCGUUUGACACCAGUGUUGUUUAGUUGAAAAUCAAUUCAAUAAUUUUUGAUUUUGAGUAGUAUUGACUUCAUCAGCUUGCUGCUUUCUUUUCCGAAAUUAUUGAAUGCACUUUUCAGUUAACAAGUCAACAUCAAUUUCUUUUGUUGUAAAAGGGUAAGAGGAAGGUGGCUUACGCUUCGGCGUAAGUGUUUAUAGCCUUUUACCUCUGCAAUCGGAGAGAUUGAGGACAGCAGCGUAGACUCCUUCGGGGGUUAGAUACACUUGUGCUAAGCUAUAGCCUUGUAUAGACAACUUGUUGACUAUGCUCAGUCAUGUAGCUUACUCGCUUGUGCUAUUUUACCUACGCUUAGGAUGUUGAUAGUCACAGCGUGUAC
rnacentral:rRNA from 1 species